GACGAACGCCGGCGGCGUGCCUAAUACAUGCAAGUCGAGCGCAGGAAACCGUCUGAACCCUUCGGGGGAACGACGGUGGAAUGAGCGGCGGACGGGUGAGUAACACGUAAAGAACCUGCCCACGGGUCUGGGAUAACCACGAGAAAUCGGGGCUAAUACCGGACGGGUCAUCGGACCGCAUGGUCCGAGGAUGAAAGGCGCUCCGGCGUCGCCCGUGGAUGGAUUUGCGGUGCAUUAGCUAGUUGGUGGGGUAAGGGCCCACCAAGGCGACGAUGCAUAGCCGACCUGAGAGGGUGAUCGGCCACACUGGGACUGAGACACGGCCCAGACUCCUACGGGAGGCAGCAGUAGGGAAUCUUCCACAAUGGACGAAAGUCUGAUGGAGCAACGCCGCGUGAACGAUGAAGGCCCUCGGGUCGUAAAGUUCUGUUGUAAGGGAAGAACAAGUGCCGCAGGCAAUGGCGGCACCUUGACGGUACCUUGCGAGAAAGCCACGGCUAACUACGUGCCAGCAGCCGCCGUAA
rnacentral:rRNA from 1 species